CCCUUAGACGUUCUGGGCCGCACGCGCGCUACACUGACACAGGCAACGAGCUUUCCUUUACCGAAAGGUAUGGGUAAUCUUUUGAAACUGUGUCGUGCUGGGGAUAGAUCCUUGCAAUUUUUGAUCUUAAACGAGGAAUUCCUAGUAAGCGCGAGUCAUCAACUCGCGUUGAUUACGUCCCUGCCCUUUGUAUACACCGCCCGUCGCUACUACCGAUUGAAUGGCUUAGUGAGGCCUCAGGAUCCGCGCUUAAUGUGUGGAGAAUUUGGACAAACUACGUCAUUUAGAGGAAGUAAAAGUCGUAACA
rnacentral:rRNA from 1 species